AGCGAAGUAGUGUAAAGGUAACAUAUCGGUCUCAUGAUCCGAAGAAAGUGGUUCAAUUCCAUUCUUCGCGU
rnacentral:tRNA from 1 species